GCAGUGCUUCGUGAAGUGCACGGUGACUUAAGACCCACUCCUGCCAGAGGAGCUUGAGGCAGAAAGACAAGAAAGAGGAGAGAUGAAAGAGGCAGAGAUGCUCUUUUUAUUCUCCCCCCUCUCUGUCACUGCAAGAUGGAAGCUGCUGCCCAACAGGAAGAUACAGAAACAUCAGAACAACGAGCCCCUGCAGCCUGAUAGCUUGGAGCUCCGGUGUAAAGGAGGUUCUGCUUUACACCUCUUCAGACCGAGAGAAGCAGAGCUGCACUCAGUAUCAGCGGGUUUUUCCACUACCGCUCU
rnacentral:lncRNA from 1 species